rnacentral:rRNA from 1 species
AACGAACGUUGGCGGCGUGCUUAACACAUGCAAGUCGUACGAGAACGACCCGGCUUGCCGGGACUAGUAAAGUGGCGCACGGGUGAGUAACACGUGAGUAAUCUGCCUCCAAGCUUGGGAUAACAUUGCGAAAGCGGUGCUAAUACCGGAUGAGACCACAGUACCAUAUGGUACAGUGAGAAAAGAUGGCCUCUGUUUCAUGCUAUCACUUGGAGAUGAGCUCGCGGACCAUUAGCUUGUUGGUGGGGUAAUGGCCUACCAAGGCGAAGAUGGUUAGCUGGUCUGAGAGGAUGAUCAGCCACACUGGAACUGAGAUACGGUCCAGACUCCUACGGGUGGCAG